GUAAAAUCAUAAGCUCCGCUCACAAUGAUGUUCUUAAUUAACCCAGUUAUUCCAUGAAGCUCUUGUUGUGUGCUCAAAAACCAGAUUGAAUCCAAGGUGAUACACAAAGCAUCAUUAAGAGUCUGAGGAUCUGCCAACGCAAUCAAACUAUCUGCAAGCUCCCAAUCAUGUGAGCUUACAGCACCCUGAAACAACCGUCCCAACUCAAAUCUGUCUUGUCGGCUAAGCUUCUUGUCAUGACUGAAUUUCCCUUUCUUUCCCUGCUUAUAAUCUGUCACCGUAAGCACGGACUUGGGACUCUGUUCACUGGAAUUACAACCAUAAGCUAGAACGGACUCUUUCUUCACGAGAGGUCCUUCUCUAGAGAAUACAACACUACUUCCCUCACCUUUCUCUGAUGCAGGAGAAUAAACAUCACCCUUCUGAAUAUCAAUUUCAUUCUCCUCAGUUUUGAUUUCCAUAUUUAUGUGAUCAAACAUUAAAGCUUCAUCAGCCACAUUGUCCCUAAUCGGAACCGAAACUUCUUUCUCCAUCCACCCGCUUGAUUCGAU
rnacentral:misc_RNA from 1 species